rnacentral:rRNA from 1 species
UACCGUGAGGGAAAGAUGAAAAGAACUUUGGAAAGAGAGUUAAACAGUACGUGAAAUUGCUGAAAGGGAAACGCUUGAAGUCAGUCGCGUUGGCCAGGGAUCAACCUUACUUCUGUGGGGUGUACUUCCUCGUCGACGGGUCAGCAUCAGUUUUGGUUGCUGGAUAAAGGCCAGGGGAAUGUGGCAUCUUCGGAUGUGUUAUAGCCCUUGGUUGGAUACAGUGGCUGGGACUGAGGAACUCAGCACGCGCAAGUUGUGCUUAGGAUGCUGGCAAAAUGGCUUUAAUCGACCCGUCUUGAAACACGGACCAAGGAGUCUAACAUGCCUGCGAGUGUUUGGGUGGAAAACCCGAGCGCGUAAUGAAAGUGAAAGUUGUGAUCCC